AUGUCGUCCGGACGGUACAUGGCCUACUCGCCCUCCCCGUCCACCACGCCGCACUCCCCGCGCAUCUCCGGCCUCCGCGCCUCCUCCGCCGCCGUCGCCGACCAGGAGAAGUACCUUGCGGAGCUGCUCGCGGAGCGCCACAAGCUGAACCCGUUCGUCCCGGUGCUCCCUCAUAGCAUACGGCUGCUGAAUCAAGAAAUUUUACGUGUUUCCACACUAUUGGAGAACGCCUCCCUUUUAAACCAAAGUGGCUUUGAACAUGGUAGUCCACUAACAUUGGGAGGAUUAUAUUCAAAUGGAGCAGCAACUGAUAUGAAUGGAUGGACAUCAGCAUUUCAAUCAGAAAGUUCAUCAGCUUAUAGUUGGCUUGGAGGUUCUCAAGGCAGCUCAUCUGGACUAAUUGUCAAGAAAACAAUGAGGGUUGAUAUUCCAGUAGACAAAUAUCCAACAUACAACUUCGUUGGUCGCAUCCUUGGUCCCAGAGGAAAUUCCUUGAAGCGAGUGGAGGCAACUACUGACUGCCGUGUGCUUAUAAGAGGCCGGGGUAGCAUUAAAGAUCCAGCUCGGGAGGAAAUGAUGCGUGGAAAGCCAGGAUAUGAACAUCUGAAUGAACCCCUACAUAUAUUGGUUGAGGCAGAGCUGCCUGUUGAAAUUAUUGAUGCUCGUCUGAUGCAAGCCCGCGAGAUCCUUGAGGAUCUGUUAAGGCCAAUGCAGGACGAGUCUCAGGACUUCUUCAAGAAGCAGCAGCUCCGGGAGCUUGCAAUGCUCAACGGCACCCUCCGCGAGGAAGGGAUGCAAAGAUCUGGUUCCGCAUCCCCUUUCCACAACAGCCUUGGAAUGAAGAGGGCCAAGACAAGGGGGUAA
rnacentral:rRNA from 1 species